AAGACUAUAGACCUGCGGAGUACCUGCGGAAGGAUCAUUACCGAGUACUCCUGCUCAGCAGGAACUCCCACCCUUGUUUACCAAAACUGUUGCUUCGGCGAGACGCUUGCAAAAGCCGUUGACAUUUUUGUUGGCGUGUGCUCGCCGGAGGUCUCCAACUCUUGAAUCUUGAAAGUCAGAGUCAUUGACAAAUUGAUAAAAACUUUCAGCAACGGAUCUCU
rnacentral:misc_RNA from 1 species